rnacentral:lncRNA from 1 species
UUGUGGCUAAAUCAUACAUAACUGGGGCCACACCUACUAAUACAAAAGGCUUCUCUUUAAUUCACCAAAUGGAGAUGUUUUGCAUCUACUAAGUAACGGGUGAGGCUUCAACAGAGAAUUCAUACGAGAUUAUCACGUAAAUAGCAAUGGGAUUUGCGAUUCUAAGGGAGUACAGUGCAAUCUUUCUCAAGAAUAUCAUACGAAUUUUUUCCUACUCCGAUCUUGCCGUCACGUGUUUUGUCGCGAUUGUCGAGUGUUGGAAGGAUUGUCAAGAGAAUCGGUUCAGGUAUGUUAAGGCUAUCCCUUCUUUCCUUUUGGCAUGAUCCAAAUGAUACAAACGAAACGAGCAAAAUACGCAACUUUCAUAAAUGACUCUAUUCAUAGAAAUAUUAGGGGUGUCUAUAUUCUUGAUUUUCCGUGUAUUUUAUUAUUAUAUCUUCUGUCCAUGGGUCUCAGAAAAAUAUGUAGUUGAUAAAGUUAUUCGAAAGCCAUAUUGAUCUUAUGACAUUCCGAAAAAUCUUAUUAACGCACUUCUUAUGCAUUUCAUGCAUUUAUACAUGUACAUUGACCCAUGGCCAGAUGGCGUUAUAUAUGCAUAUAUUAUAUGUAUAUGGGAUAUGAGAAAAGGUUAUGGUGUUAUAUACGCACCACCACCUGAUCAGCUGGUAUACAUUGAUGAUUUGCCCACAGUGGCCGAGAUGAUAUGAUGAGAUACCCUCAGAGGCUUGAUGAUGUUAUGAACGCAUAUACCUAUGCAUGGUAUGACAUUUAUAUCCAUAUACAUGACAUUAUAAAUACGAAAUGAUUCAUAGAGAUAUUCAGACUUACAUGUUGAGUCUUUUACUCUAUGUUUCUCAAUGUCUUUUUUUUUAUACUGAUUUUCAUUCCUUACAUACUCGGUACAUUAUUUGUACCGACGUUCCUUUUGCAUGGGGACGCUGUGUUUCAUGCCCGCAGGUCCCGAUAGACAGGUUGAGAGUCCUCCAAAUAGGCUAUCAGCUCGGCGGAAGGUGUUGAUGCGCUCCAUUUGCUCCAGAGUUGCUUAUUUGGUCAGUAUGAUUUGGUCAUGUAUUGAUUAGUAUGGCGGGGCCCUGUCCCGACCUUUAUGGUGCUUAUCUACUCUUAGAGGCUUGUAGACAUAUGUCAUGUACGUGAAAGAUUAUAUGGUCUUGUCGGCCUAUGUUUAGUGUACGAGUGAUCAUUUUGGUCUUAUAGGCUCGUAUGUCAUAUGUAUAAGUUUGUAUUACAUGUUGGGU